UACGGAGGGGGCUAGCGUUGUUCGGAAUUAUUGGGCGUAAAGAGCGCGUAGGCGGUCUCUUAAGUCAGAUGUGAAAGCCCAGGGCUCAACCCUGGAAGUGCAUUUGAAACUAAGGGACUUGAGUAUGGGAGAGGGAAGUGGAAUUCCUGGUGUAGCGGUGAAAUGCGUAGAUAUCAGGAGGAACAUCGGUGGCGAAGGCGACUUCCUGGACCAAUACUGACGCUGAGGCGCGAAGGCGUGGGGAGCAAACAGG
rnacentral:rRNA from 1 species